CAAUUCCUGUGCAGUAUUGUAAGUGAUGACAUUGCCUUAUCCUUGACAGCACAGAUAAUAUGCUCCUUUCAUUUGCUAGAUUGGAACCUCCAGAACAGUAUAAGACUGCUACAUCCCCGGCAUCUAGAACAGUGUUUGAAUCCAAGAUAUUGCCUGCAUUGCAUCCUAGAUGAAACGUGGCUGAGAAAAAUGGUGGAUGAGGCCAUACAGCUAAGUCCUGACCACAUCUGACCACAACUCUCCUCCCUGUGGGCACCACACUGGCCUCCUUGGAUGCUCUUACCUCAGCACUGUGCACAGGCUAUUUCUUCUGCUAGGAACACUUUUCCCCAGCCGGAGCCCCCGCUGCUGCCGG